rnacentral:rRNA from 1 species
UGGGGAAUCUUGCACAAUGGGCGAAAGCCUGAUGCAGCAACGCCGCGUGCGGGAAGACAGCCCUAGGGUUGUAAACCGCUUUCAGCAGGGAAGAAACUGACGGUACCUGCAGAAGAAGAUGCGGCCAACUACGUGCCAGCAGCCGCGGUGACACGUAGGCAUCAAGCGUUAUCCGGAUUUAUUGGGCGUAAAGAGCUCGUAGGCGGUUCGGUAAGUCGGGUGUGAAAAUCCAAGGCUCAACCUUGGGACGCCACCCGAUACUGCUGUGACUCGAGUGCAGUAGGGGAGCAGGGAAUUCCUGGUGUAGCGGUGAAAUGCGCAGAUAUCAGGAGGAACACCAGUGGCGAAGGCGCUGCUCUGGGCUGUAACUGACGCUGAGGAGCGAAAGCAUGGGUAGCAAACAGGAUUAGAUACCCUGGUAGUCCAUGCCGUAAACGUUGGGCACUAGGUGUGGGUCUCAACCAACGAGAUCCGCGCCGUCGCUAACGCAUU